AUUCGCCCUUAGAGUUUGAUCCUGGCUCAGGACGAACGCUGGCGGCGUGCUUAACACAUGCAAGUCGAGCGAGGAUAUGCUGGAGAGCUUCGGCAGGAAGGGAUAUUCGAGCGGCGGACGGGUGAGUAACGCGUGAGCAAUCUGUCCCAUACAGGGGGAUACCACUUGGAAACAGGUGCUAAUACCGCAUAAGACCACGGUAUCGCAUGGUACUGAGGUAAAAGAGAAAUCGGUAUGGGGUGAGCUCGCGUCCCAUUAGAUAGUUGGUGAGGUAACGGCCCACCAAGUCAACGAUGGGUAGCCGACCUGAGAGGGUGAUCGGCCACAUUGGAACUGAGACACGGUCCAGACUCCUACGGGAGGCAGCAGUGGGGAAUAUUGGGCAAUGGGCGCAAGCCUGACCCAGCAACGCCGCGUGAAGGAAGAAGGUUUUCGGAUUGUAAACUUCUGUCCUUGAUGACGAAGGAAGUGACGGUAAUCAAGGAGGAAGCCCCGGCUAACUACGUGCCAGCAGCCGCGGUAAUACGUAGGGGGCGAGCGUUGUCCGGAAUGACUGGGCGUAAAGGGCGUGUAGGCGGCCUGAUAAGUCUGGAGUGAAAGUCCUGCUUUCAAGGUGGGAAUUGCUUUGGAGACUGUCGGGCUUGAGUGCGGAAGAGGUAAGUGGAAUUCCCAGUGUAGCGGUGAAAUGCGUAGAGAUUGGGAGGAACACCAGUGGCGAAGGGGGACUUACUGGGCCGUAACUGACGCUGAGGGCGCGAAAGCAUGGGGAAGCGAACAGGAUUAGCUUCACCUGGUAGUCCACGCAGAAAACGAUUAAUGCUAGAGUGUUGAGAGGAUCGACCCCCGCAGUGCUGGAGUCAACACAAUAAGCAUUCCCGCCUGGGGAGUACGGCUUCAAGGUUGAAACUCAAAGGAAUUGACGGGGGCCCGCACAAGCAGCGGAGCAUGUUGUUUAAUUGGAAGCAACGCGAAGAACCUUGCCAGGUCUAGACAU
rnacentral:rRNA from 1 species